rnacentral:tRNA from 1 species
GUCUUAUUGCUGUAGCGCAAUGGAUAGCGCGUUGGACUUGUAAUCCAAAGGUCGUGGGUUCAAAUGUCACCGGGGAUG